rnacentral:rRNA from 1 species
UACAGAGGUCCCAAGCGUUGUUCGGAUUCACUGGGCGUAAAGGGUGCGUAGGUGGCUUGGUAAGUUUGAUGUGAAAUCUCCGGGCUUAACCCGGAAAUGGCAUUGAAUACUAUUGAGCUGGAGGUUUGGAGGGGGGACUGGAAUUCUCGGUGUAGCAGUGAGAUGCGUAGAUAUCGAGAGGAACACCAGUGGCGAAGGCGAGUCCCUGGACAACACCUGACACUGAGGCACGAAAGCUAGGGGAGCAAACAGG